CCAAGUAGCAUGGAACAUGUGGAAUUCCGUGUGAAUCUGCGAGAACCACCUCGUAAGGCUAAAUACUCCUUGAUAACCGAUAGUGAACAGUACCGCGAGGGAAUGGUGAAAAGAACCCCCAUAGGGGAGUGAAAUAGAAUAUGAAACCGUAUGCCUACAAGCAGUAGGAGAGCGAUUUAACGUUUGACUGCGUGCCUGUUGAAGAAUGAGCCGGCGACUCUUUGCAUGUGGCUUGGUUAAUGAGUUUCGCUCAGGAGCCUAAGCGAAAGCGAGUGUUAAAAGCGCGUUUGUCAUAUGUAAAGGACCCGAACCCGGGUGAUCUACCCAUGGGCAGGAUGAAUCCUCAGUAAUAUGAGGUGGAGGUCCGAACCGACUUAUGUUGAAAAAUGAGCGGAUGACCUGUGGGUAGGGGUGAAAUGCCAAUCGAACUCGGAGCUAGCUGGUUCUCCCCGAAAUGCGUUGAGGCGCAGCGGUAAUUUAUGGUCCAUGGAGGGGUAAAGCACUGUUUUAGUGCGGGCGGCGAAAGCUGUACCAAAUUAAUGCAAACUCAGAAUACUCCGUGUGAUUUCAAAGUGCCAGUAAGACUGUGGGGGAUAAGCUCCAUUGUCAAGAGGGAAACAGCCCAGACCACCGGUUAAGGCCCCAAAAUGUAUACUAAGUGGUAAAGGAAGUGAUAACGCAGAGACAACCAGGAGGUUCGCCUAGAAGCAGCUAUCCUUUAAAGAGUUCGUAACAGAUCACUGGUCAAGCGUUAUUGCACCGAAAAUGAAAGGGACUAAGUAUACUGCCGAAGCUGUGGGAUCAAUAGAAUUCUAUUGAUCGGUAGGGGAGCGUUCUGUUCUUGGUUGAAGCAUGAUCGAAAGGACAUGUGGACAAAACAGAAGUGAGAAUGUCGGCUUGAGUAGCGAAAACAUGGGUGAGAAUCCCAUGCCCUGAGACCCUAAGGGUUCCUCUCGCAAGGCUCGUCCGCGGAGGGUUAGUCAGGAACUAAGGCGAGGCCGAACGGCGUAGUCGAUGAUAAUUAGGUUAAUAUUCCUAAACUUUUUAAAGAUUAGUUAUUUGUGACGGCAAUAACAAUACUAUUAUAACAGCGUGGUGUUUAUAAUAAAAUUCGCAUUGUCCAAGAAAAGCAAAAUAUCAUGUGUUUUUAAAAACCUGUACCAGAAACCGACACAGGUAGGGUGGUUGAGAAGACCAAGGGGCGCGAGUGAACUCUCUCUAAGGAACUCGGCAAAAUGACCCCGUAACUUCGGGAGAAGGGGUGCCUCACCAGAAAUGGGGGGCCACAGUAUCAAGACCCAAGCAACUGUUUAUCAAAAACACAGGUCUCCGCAAAGUCGUAAGACAACGUAUGGGGGCUGACGCCUGCCCAGUGCCGGAAGGUUAAUUGCGGUGGUUAGUGAAGAACGAAGCCAUCAAUUGAAGCCCCGGUGAACGGCGGCCGUAACAAUAACGGUCCUAAGGUAGCGA
rnacentral:rRNA from 1 species